AGUGAGCGGCAAAAGCUCAAUUUGAAUCUGGUACCUUCGGUGCCCGAGUUGUAAUUUGGAGAGGGCAACUUUGGGGCCGUUCCUUGUCUAUGUUCCUUGGAACAGGACGUCAUAGAGGGUGAGAAUCCCGUGUGGCGAGGAGUGCGGUUCUUUGUAAAGUGCCUUCG
rnacentral:rRNA from 1 species